rnacentral:lncRNA from 1 species
GUGCACGUGAUGGUCGGAGGACAACUCUGGGGAGCUGCUUCUCUCCGUUUACCGUGUGGUCUUUAGGAACUGAAUCAGGUCGCCAGUCUUAGCGGCAAGCACCUUUACCCUCUGCUGCAUCUUGACCACUGGGUUACAGGGAAUUUAGAAGACAAGAUAAAGAUGUCAGGAGGAGGAGGCGGCAGCUGACUGGGAUCUGUUCAUUCACCCCAUAGGUGACUAUUACAGCGCCUCUGGGUGCCCCUGACAGACAUGUUCCUGGCCUCACAGAACCUCUGUGCAGCCAGGAGAAAGACAAAUCACUGUGAGACACCUUGGUCUGACAACAGAAAACCCGAGAGUUGAGGGGACGUCAGAGUUUGGUGGAAAGCCAACUAGACUGGCUUCCCCCUUCAAAGCAUUCAGACAGACGUAGGAGAAAAUCAGGGGCUUCCAUGAGUUCGGGAAGAAAGCCCUUCUUAGCAGAGAAGAGCUGUGUUGAAGAUUGCAUCAGCAGGAGCUUCGUCACAGGGGAACUGGCGAGGGCAGACAGCUGGAGUGAGGUGGGGUGAAAAGGUAGAACCGGGCGCUACCUCCGGAGCCACUGGCUCUCGGGACCCCGACAAGCUGGAUGAGAGAGUCAGAGAGCCGACUGAGCUUUCAGUAAAAGGAGGGUUGACCUUCAUCUUGGAAGGGCCACUGAAGCUGGAGUGUUCAUUAUCCCACAGGAAGCAACAUCAGGAACAGAUACCACGGAAGGCUAGUGAAACAAAAGGAGAUGGCAAUGCUCUCAAGUUUAGCCGCUUUGGGGGAAGCGUUUCAAGAACCUGAAACUCGGAGGAUGGGCAUCCUUGUGUUGGGAACUGGAGCUCCGGAGCGUUGGGAAAACUGCAAAGUGGGUUCAGCUGCUGCCAAGGAAGGCGCUGCUGAUGCCAGGGUGAAGAAGUGUUGCCAGGGCGACGUUACAGGAACAGGAAGCCAAUAGAAAUAAGCAAGCCCCCUCUUCCUGCUGCUGCGUUCCCAGCAUCUGCCCUGUGCUCUUUCCUGGCAGCGCAGAGCGGAAAGCAACCAAGGUCUUCCGAGCCAGCUCCGGCAUCGCACGCAAGGCACGGAUAGAAGGUGAAUGUGACAUAAAGAGGCAAUCGCUGAGCUAACAGAAACACGGAUUAACACAAAUGAAGGGAUGCACAAGUUUCCAGAACUACAGAAUUCAGUUGAGAGGGUCAGAGAAGUGAGCCUGCUGGAAGAAUGACACUGCUUAACACCGUAGGGCCCUUUGGGGGCUGAAGAGGUGGCUCAGCAGUUAAGAACUCUGGGCUGCACUUUCAGGGGACCAGGCUUCAGGUCCCAGCACCAACUAUAUGUGACUCCAGUUCCAGGGGAAUUGAUAACCUCUGCUGGUCUCCACAGUCAUUGUACGUACAAAGUGCAUACACUCACAAGACAGACAAAACACCCACACACAUAAAGU